AUGUAGCGAGCUGAGUGGGGAGGAGAGAGGGACAGAGAGCCUGCUUGCUUUAAAGGAGCCAACCGGACAGGAGCCGCUUACACUCGUGUAAGCAGCUCCUCUCCCGCUUUGCUCCUUUAAAGAAGCAGGCUCUCUGUCCCUCUCUCCUCCCCACUCAGCGGCUCUUCUC
rnacentral:miRNA from 1 species